UACCCAGGACUAACCAAUGAAAGGAAGCACAAAUGCCAGCUGUCUCUUAUACCAAGUGCUCCUGGUCUUACUCCAUGAGCAGCUGAAUGUCUUCUCUGAGGCCAUGCUAAGUCUUGAAGCUGACUAACUCCUGCCGGUGACAAUUGUUUCAACUAUAAUAAUAGGAGCACCAGUUGGAUGUUACUGAAAUUCAGUAAAGACUCACCAUCCGCCCGAAAGGUCCGACUUGAUUUGGCAAAGUGGUCUACAAUCAUCUGCAAGUCUCUUUGGAUGUGUGUCUCUAGGACGGAGUUAUGUGCAUACAGCAAUUUUCAAAUGACUGCCUCUAGGACUUGGGAUGCCGCUCACAGUCUAUUGAGUCGGAGAAGUCUCUCAGAGAAAUGGAUGCUUAUUCUAACACCUGCAUCUAAGUCUCUCAUUACCUCCUCCAGAAUGGCUGCAUGGAAUAAAUGCAAAAACCUUAUUUGGUAUCAUCAAGAAAUCUCAAAGAUGAUCCCUUGUGAUUAAUACAGCUGUCACGAUCAUCAGGAAAUGACACUUCUCCUUAGCUUCAGUGGUAAGAGCCAAAUCAUCUGAAUGUAGUUGAGCAGGCCCUGGCUCAGCUGGUACUAAAGGUGCAGAUUAUCUUGGAAUCCAUAGUGCUGUUGCCUGUCUUGACCAAAGUGAUGAUUUCUUGAGAUCUCUUCCAGC